AUGAAUAUUAAAAUUGUCUUAACCUCACUUCUGGCACUGAUCCUUCCAGGCCCUGGGAGGGCAGAUUGGAUCAGACCCCGGGAGACAGAACUGUCUGGAACAGAGGGGAAGACUGUGAACCUCCUGUGUAAUUAUGGUACUUCAUCUAGAGGCUUAGUUGAUCUCUACUGGUAUCGACAGUAUCCAAACCAGGCGCUGGAAUACAUUCUCUACAGAGGGUGGGGGUACUCUGGAAAAGGAGAUGCCAGUUUUGCCACAGAAAGGUUUUAUUCAAAGACUACAGCAAAUUCAACAGAUUUGUACAUCGGAAAUCUGGAGCCUGCAGAUACUGCCGUGUAUUAUUGUGCGCUGAGAGGCACAAAGAGACCAUCACAUAGGGCAGCUGUACAAGAAUACCAGUGCACUGGAGGAAGGAGAAUGUGGCACACAUAA